AUUCAUCAUUCCAAUUUGUCAAGUACCCAGAGUGCUGGACUAAUUAUGUGGCGGGAAACCAGAAAAAAAAAAAAUGGGGGAGGCCAGCCUCCUGUUUAGACUUUCCUAUCUCACCUUGGCUCCAAACGAGCAGCCGAACCUUCGCUGGGCUACAAGAGACGCACAGCACUGGCAUAUGGUGAUUUGGUUUCCUGGAUGAGCCGUAGUCUAAAAGCAGGAACGGAGCGCUGCCUCUUUGUGCUGUCAUCUCAGGACCAGCUAAUGGCCCGUGCUUACUCUGUACCUUGACUUUUCAACCCAAUGUGACAGUGAAUAAUAUGCUGCACAUAAGGCUGGAUUUACUGCAAUAUCUUCCCCAGUAGCAAAAGCUACAGGACCCGGCGUAUGGCUGCAGCAGCAUAAGAGACAGGCAGGGCCGUGAAGAGGUUAUCUCCGUGUUCAGGAGCGCAGACCUUCACUCUUCCAGGUCGUCUUAUUCCACCUGCUCUCCACUCCACUCUUGCUGAUGAGGUUCGUCUUUGGAAAAGUUUCCAUCGUUACCAGCACAGGCAGUAAUCUUUCAGUGUGAACCUUCCAAGUCUGCGCUUGCCUGGAUAUUCUGGAGAAAUCUAAGUGUACAUUUUCGUAUACAUAUGUGGAAUACAGUACUGCUAACAAUCCGAUGGGGGCGCUCUGCACUACAGUACACAGGACGUGUUUAACUGCAGACUCAGAAGUGCAUCCUGUCCAUCCAAUCUACAGUCGCUCGUCUUAAUAGAAAACAAAAACAGACAAACACGCUGAUUUCUAACGCACUGAUUCUUCAACCUUCCCGGAAAGAAAACGACUCCAUCGGAGUCCGCUAGAAGACAAGUCUGGGAUGGGAACACAUCACUGCAACAUACCUGCGUGUUUUUUUUUUUUUUUUUGGUGGAGUUAAAGUGACUUUUUAUCUUCUCUUCCGGCAGAGAGAAAAAAAAAAUCCAAAUAUAAGUUGUUGUUUUUAAAGACAAAUGGUCUUGAUAAUUUAUAUUAAAGUUAAAAAAAUAUAAUAAAUAAAAUUGUGUAACUGAGUGUAAUGUAGAUAUCAAAAGAAAAAUAUCGUGUGAGUUGUUUCAAGUGAGAAGAUGGUAAAACUCUAACGGAGGACAUUCUUCCAAACCGGAUCAAACCAGAUCGGUUGUCAUGACUACAACACCGACUCCAUGUUGUUGGACAUCUCUGGGUCCUCCAGGUUAAAAAUGAACUUUGUCCUGUUGGCCGGAUUAUGCGUGAUCUCUUUGCCUAAAUUGUCCAAAGUCACGUUGGAGGAAAAGAGUUCGGUGGGCGUGAGGUAACCCUCGUUGUUCUUGAUGUACUUCCUGUAGUUCUUCCUCAGACAGUGCCAUGUGGUGGUGUACAGCAGGAAGGCCGAGGACUUGAGGACGAUGGCGAUGCUAACGUACAGGUGCCUGUAGGCCACGUUGUCAUACAGCAUGCACGCUCCUUUCUCACCACACACAGAGCUCCAGAAGAGGCAGGUGGAAUCGAUGCCCAUGCCGAAGAUAAGAGGAGGAGGGAUGAAGCCUGCAGGGCAGAUGUUGGACAGAGAUCUAAAGCGUUUGUCACCUUGGAUAUCUAUGAACAAAAAAAUAAAAUGUGACCUUUUGUGCAAAUGUUUCAACAGAAUCCUUUCUUCUUGAGGGACUGCAUGUUGAGAAAUAAGGUAUUUACCUGAGUGAUGUUUCCUCCUCUGUAGUUUGGGAUAAAAAUAAAAAUCCCUCUUUAGGUUUUACUUGUAUUCAUUGUUCUUCUCUUGACUUUGAUCCUCUUGUCUUUGUUUUUUUUCCCCACUCUUUUCUUUCCCGGUUUUAAAUAUUUUCGGCACUGGGUCGAACAACUUUUAAUUUCUUAAAAAACUGCACUGAUUUUAUAUAUCGUGUAUAUUGUAUUUUAGUGUAUUUUACUUUAUUAUUUUGCUAUUUUUAUUAAGUAACUUUGUUUUAUUUAUAUUUGUUAAUGUACACACACCUCACCGAGCCCACCAUGUAACUAAUUAACAUUUCAAGUGUAGUAUUUUUUUUAAAAAUAGAGGUGU